CCAAUGAGCGAUGAUGAUCUGAUCGGCUACAUCAUGGCGGGUCUCGACGCUAAGUAUAACCCGCUGGUUUCCUUUGUUAUAACUAGGUCUGAUUCGAUCGGUCUGUCCGAGUUCUACACCUAUUUUUUCUCAUA